rnacentral:misc_RNA from 1 species
AAGUCGUAACAAGGUUUCCGUAGGUGAACCUGCGGAAGGAUCAUUAUUGAUUUAAAGAUGUGCUGGCACUCCAUAGGUUUGCAUGUGCACUCUACAAAAUCUCCUUCUCUUACCCCAUUGUGCACACUCCAGUAGGCAAACAGAGGUUCACAGAGCAAUCUAUGCAAUCUUAUUUGCCUAUGUUUUAUCAAACACCAAUAGCAUGUUAGAAUGAUGUUAUAGUAAGCUUUUAAAAGCUGAAAUUUAAUACAACUUUCAACAAUGGAUCUCUUGGUUCUC